AUUUUUCUUCGUGCUUUUCAGUUCAGCGGUAAAUUUUCUUGGUUAUAACUUUUAAUUUUAUCUAAGUGGCUCAAAAUUAUGAAAAAAGUUUUUCGGAUCAUUUUCGAAAGGUGACGGAGUAUGUGGUGGACAGUUUUUAUAUAGACAAUUUAAAAUAGUUAAGUGCUGAUAUAAAGAAAUUAAAAUGUCAAGAGCAUACAUAGAGUGAAUCAUAAUGAUAACAGUUCGAUUGGAUACGUUGUGUACAGAAAGUGGAGGGAACUAAAUUUUUAAGCUGUGCAGCUAACACUGGCGGCAUGUAAACAUUAUGUCAUACAUAACAAAUAAAAUCAAGAAAGGUACCACGCUAUGAUUUAUGUAGAAUGGAGGAAGAUAACAUCUUACUUUCUAGCAACUUUUAUUGCCAUUUUUGUUUUCUCAUAAUAUUUAUAUUUUAUGUUCUUGUAGCGGGUUAAUUGUAAAUUUACUGCCCUGAUAUUCAGUAAGU